rnacentral:rRNA from 1 species
GAUGAACGCUGGCGGCGUGCCUAAUACAUGCAAGUCGAGCGAACAGACGAGGAGCUUGCUCCUCUGACGUUAGCGGCGGACGGGUGAGUAACACGUGGAUAACCUACCUAUAAGACUGGGAUAACUUCGGGAAACCGGAGCUAAUACCGGAUAAUAUAUUGAACCGCAUGGUUCAAUAGUGAAAGACGGUUUUGCUGUCACUUAUAGAUGGAUCCGCGCCGCAUUAGCUAGUUGGUAAGGUAACGGCUUACCACGGCGACGAUGCGUAGCCGACCUGAGAGGGUGAUCGGCCACACUGGAACUGAGACACGGUCCAGACUCCUACGGGAGGCAGCAGUAGGGAAUCUUCCGCAAUGGGCGAAGGCCUGACGGAGCAACGCCGCGUGAGUGAUGAAGGUCUUCGGAGCGUAAAACUCUGUUAUUAGGGAAGAACAAAUGUGUAAGUAACUAUGCACGUCUUGACGGUACCUAAUCAGAAAGCCACGGCUAACUACGUG